CAAUAAAAACAAACACCGAUCCAAUUGAACAAAUGAAAAGCUGAUAUGAAAUAUUUAGAAGGUGAUGAUUGCUUUUAUAAUGGGCGCCUUGCACAGAAUUGAAGGUUUACGUAGAUUUCCUUAUUGAAAAUUUAUAGAGUAACUGUUCACACCGAAAAUUGUAUCAAGGACACAAAGAACUAACUUAGGACCAGAAAUCAUAGUAACGUGUUGGAGAGGACGUCGUUCGACAACAGUCCUUCCUUCAGUCCUUCCUCGGUUCAUCUCCUUGGUUGAGAAGAGCGGAUAACAAUUGGGUAAUAAACGACUGAUCAUUGGAAUUGAAGCGCACUGGCUGAUUCUUUCGCCAAUUACCAGAAACAAUUUCAGAACUUUAUUUCGUUCCCCAAACAAUACAGCCGACAGUAGACUCCUUCGUAAAAAGGGGGAGGGUCAUCUGUAACCAGGACCAUGGAUAUAACAAUAAAAUAUUUAAUCUCUCAAUCAUUUUGAUUUACAUUUCAGAAUGUAAUUCGUAAUUUAGGGAGC